rnacentral:tRNA from 7 species
GCCGAAGUGGCGGAAUUGGCAGACGCACACGACUCAAAAUCGUGCGGGAAACCGUGCCGGUUCGAGUCCGGCCUUCGGCACCA